rfam:Leptotrichia goodfellowii F0264 contig00087, whole genome shotgun sequence.
AUUAAACUUCAGGGCAGGGUGAAAUUCCCGACCGGCGGUAUAGUCCGCGAGCUUUUAUGAGCAUGAACCGGUUAAAUUCCGGUACCGAUAGUAAAGUCUAGAUGGAAGAAGUUAGAA